UAUCCCAGAUCGGUGCUGCGGUCCCGUUGCAUGGAAGAGGCUGCUGCUCUUUUUUACAGCAUAAACAACCCAGCAGCAGCAGGAGCAGCAGAAUGUCCAGAUGAAUGUGAAGCUUUACCUCCAUCCCCUCGUGCUUCUUCCCUAACGGGAUCAGGAUUGAUUUCCCCCCAGGCGCGGCGUUUUCCCGGAUUCCGCUGAACUCGGUGCAUGAACCGCCUGUGGCAGCCCCUCCCUCGGCCCUGCCCCCCAGCACCUGGUGCUGUGUGGGUUAAUCCCAUCAAAGCAACAACUCUCUCUGAUUCGCAGACUAGAAAAUAUUCCAGGAUUAUUGGAAUAUGAAUCCCAAUAUUGCCAGUUAGAUUGUGCCUGGGCCAGUCUGACCCUCGCUGCUGAGCCAAAGGCGGCAGCUGUGGUGCAUCACCCCAGAGACACCUUUAGCUUGCUGAUGGUUUCAGCUGGGCACUAAACAAGUCCAGGCUUGUCAGGGACUCCGUUACCUCAGGAAGAGGCUUCAGGCGAAGGUGAAGAGAGAAAAAGGAGAGGAUUCUGCUGGAGGGUUUAAUAUCCAGAGGUUUAUUCCAUGGUGAC
rnacentral:lncRNA from 1 species